AGAAUCAACGCUGGCGGCGUGCCUAACACAUGCAAGUCGAACGAGAAAGGGGAGCAAUCCCUGAGUAAAGUGGCGACCGGGUGAGUAACACGUGACUAACCUACCUUCGAGUGGGGGAUAACCUCGGGAAACCGAGGCUAAUACCGCAUAACAUCGUGAGAUCAAAGCAGUAAUGCGCUGGAAGAGGGGGUCGCGGCUGAUUAGCUAGUUGGCGGGGUAAUGGCCCACCAAGGCGAAGAUCGGUAGCCGGCCUGAGAGGGCGCACGGCCACACUGGAACUGAAACACGGUCCAGACUCCUACGGGAGGCAGCAGUGGGGAAUUUUGCGCAAAUGGGGGAAACCCUGACGCAGCAACGCCGCGUGGAGGAUGAAGUCCCUUGGGACGUAAAACUCCUUUCGACCAAGACGAUAAUGACGGUACUGGUGGAAGAAGCACCGGCUAAACGUCUGCGCCAGCAGCCGC
rnacentral:rRNA from 1 species